rnacentral:piRNA from 1 species
UCAACAAAGGAGCUUCUCAAAUGUCUUC